GAUGAACGCUGGCGGCGUGCCUAAUACAUGCAAGUCGAGCGAACAGACGAGGAGCUUGCUCCUCUGACGUUAGCGGCGGACGGGUGAGUAACACGUGGAUAACCUACCUAUAAGACUGGGAUAACUUCGGGAAACCGGAGCUAAUACCGGAUAAUAUAUUGAACCGCAUGGUUCAAUAGUGAAAGACGGUUUUGCUGUCACUUAAAGAUGGAUCCGCGCCGCAUUAGCUAGUUGGUAAGGUAACGGCUUACCAAGGCAACGAUGCGUAGCCGACCUGAGAGGGUGAUCGGCCACACUGGAACUGAGACACGGUCCAGACUCCUACGGGAGGCAGCAGUAGGGAAUCUUCCGCAAUGGGCGAAAGCCUGACGGAGCAACGCCGCGUGAGUGAUGAAGGUCUUCGGAUCGUAAAACUCUGUUAUUAGGGAAGAACAAAUGUGUAAGUAACUAUGCACGUCUUGACGGUACCUAAUCAGAAGGCCACGGCUAACUACGUG
rnacentral:rRNA from 1 species